CACACUCAAGUGGCAAGAUUAAGGGGUUAUGAUCGUUUCCCGUAAUUGUACGUCGGAUCAUAUUAGGUUUUUACUUUCCUGCGGUACCGCAGGAAGUUCUGUUGAGACCAUCUCAUGUCUACCCUGAGUGGCCGGUUCUGAAUUGGUACCAGUUCGAGCUUGACUGUUUUAUGAUACAUAGUAUGGCCUAUGUAUUCAGCGUGCAUAUAGAGUUUUCUGAUAUAGAAACUGUUAAUCUUUACUCCCCUGAAACCAGGGGGUGAUGCGAAUAAGACCCGACGUAUUUGGGGAUCAUAACCCUCGUUCUCUUUAGGCUGAACCUUGAGGAACUUGAGCAUCCAUUGCUACCAAUGGUGCACAGAUUUGUCAGUUAAAUCAAUCAUGUCGGCAUUCUGUAAUCAUGUCAGACCUCGUCAUUCUAAGUGAACUGUGGCCGUUAUUUCCUCA
rnacentral:lncRNA from 1 species